rnacentral:rRNA from 1 species
UACAGAGGUCCCAAGCGUUGUUCGGAUUCAUUGGGCGUAAAGGGUGCGUAGGUGGCGUCGUAAGUCGGGUGUGAAAUCUCGGGCUUAACUCCGAAACUGCAUUCGAUACUGCGGUGCUUGAGGACUGGAGAGGAGACUGGAAUUACGGUGUAGCAGUGAAAUGCGUAGAGAUCGUAAGGAAGACCAGUGGCGAAGGCGGGUCUCUGGACAGUUCCUGACACUGAGGCACGAAGGCCAGGGAGCAAACGGG